UAUCGGGGGGCUUAACAUGCAGUCGAGGGGUAACAUUGUGCUUGCACAGAUGACGACCGGCGCACGGGUGCGUAACGCGUAUAGAACCUACCUUUUACAGAGGAAUAGCCUUUAGAAAUGAAGAUUAAUGCCUCAUAGUAUUGAGUAAUCGCAUGAUUAUUUAAUUAAAGAUUUAUCGGUAAAAGAUGGCUAUGCGUCCUAUUAGUUAGUUGGUAAGGUAACGGCUUACCAAGACAUCGAUAGGUAGGGGUCCUGAGAGGGAGAUCCCCCACACUGGUACUGAGACACGGACCAGACUCCUACGGGAGGCAGCAGUGAGGAAUAUUGGACAAUGGAGGAGACUCUGAUCCAGCCAUGCCGCGUGUAGGAAGAAUGCCCUAUGGGUUGUAAACUACUUUUAUACAGGAAGAAACACUGGUAUGUAUACCAGCUUGACGGUACUGUAAGAAUAAGGACCGGCUAACUCCGUGCCAGCAGCCGCGGUAAC
rnacentral:rRNA from 1 species